rnacentral:rRNA from 1 species
AUUGAACGCUGGCGGCAUGCCUUACACAUGCAAGUCGAACGGCAGCACGGGAGCAAUCCUGGUGGCGAGUGGCGAACGGGUGAGUAAAGUAUCGGAACGUGCCCAGUCGUGGGGGAUAACGUAGCGAAAGUUACGCUAAUACCGCAUACGAUCUAUGGAUGAAAGCGGGGGAUCGCAAGACCUCGCGCGAUUGGAGCGGCCGAUAUCAGAUUAGGUAGUUGGUGGGGUAAAGGCCCACCAAGCCGACGAGCUGUAGCUGGUCUGAGAGGACGACCAGCCACACUGGGACUGAGACACGGCCCAGACUCCUACGGGAGGCAGCAGUGGGGAAUUUUGGACAAUGGGCGAAAGCCUGAUCCAGCCAUGCCGCGUGCAGGAUGAAGGCCUUCGGGUUGCAAACUGCUUUUGUACGGAACGAAAAGGACUGCCCUAAUACGGUGGUCCCAUGACGGUACCGUAAGAAUAAGCACCGGCUAACUACGUGCCAGCAGCCGCAGUAA